UGGGGAUAUUGCACAAUGGGGGAAACCCUGAUGCAGCCAUGCCGCGUGUGUGAAGAAGGCCUUCGGGUUGUAAAGCACUUUCAGCGAGGAGGAAAGGUUGAUGCCUAAUACGCAUCAGCUGUGACGUUACUCGCAGAAGAAGCACCGGCUAACUCCGUG
rnacentral:rRNA from 1 species